UCCACCAUAGCUCAAUAGGUAGAGCACUUCGCUGUUAACGAAGGGGUUUGUUGGUUCGAACCCAACUGGUGGAG
rnacentral:tRNA from 1 species